rnacentral:rRNA from 1 species
GACGAACGCUGGCGGCAUGCCUAACACAUGCAAGUCGAACGGACGAUGCCCUUCGGGCGAAAGUUAAGUGGCGGACUGGUGAGUAACGCGUGAGCAACCUGCCUUUGAGAGGGGGACAACAGCUGGAAACGGCUGCUAAUACCGCAUGAUGCAGCGAGAUCGCAUGAUCUUGCUGCCAAAGAUUUAUCGCUCAAAGAUGGGCUCGCGUCCGAUUAGAUAGUUGGUGAGGUAACGGCUCACCAAGUCAACGAUCGGUAGCCGGACUGAGAGGUCGACCGGCCACAUUGGGACUGAGAUACGGCCCAG